GAUGAACGCUGGCGGCGUGCCUAAUACAUGCAAGUCGAGCGAACGGACGAGAAGCUUGCUUCUCUGAUGUUAGCGGCGGACGGGUGAGUAACACGUGGAUAACCUACCUAUAAGACUGGGAUAACUUCGGGAAACCGGAGCUAAUACCGGAUAAUAUUUUGAACCGCAUGGUUCAAAAGUGAAAGACGGUCUUGCUGUCACUUAUAGAUGGAUCCGCGCUGCAUUAGUUAGUUGGUAAGGUAACGGCUUACCAAGGCAACGAUGCAUAGCCGACCUGAAGGGGUGAUCGGCCACACGGGAACUGAGACACGGCCCAGACACCUACGGGAGGCAGCAGUAGGGAAUCUUACGCAAUGGGCGAGAGCCUGACGGAGCAACGCCGCGUGAGUGAUGAAGGUCUUCGGAUCGUAAAGCUCUGUUAGUAGGGAAGAACAUAUGUGUAAGUAACUGUGCACAUCUUGACGGUACCUAAUCAAAAAGCCACGGCUAACUACGUG
rnacentral:rRNA from 1 species